rnacentral:sRNA from 1 species
CUUAGUAUUGAUUCAGAUUCAGUCGAUGAGUUUCUCUCGCUUCUGCGCGUUGCGUGUUUCGCAGUGUUUCCGCGAUUUUUUCUUUGUCAUCAUCGUUGCCCACAGUCGCCGCUCGUGCGCCCCUCCGAUUUCAACUGUUAUACGGCGUUCACUUUGUACGGUGCUUUCAAUGUAAAAAUUUCCUGCAAUUGACAAAAUUAAACAUAAUCAACAAAUCGAUACAUGAAAAUGUACAUAUAUUCAUAUGUAUGUAUGUAUGUUCAUAUAUGGUGCAUGGAUGCAUGUGUUCUUGGCUCGCCAAUAACAGAACGAGUCACAGAAAAUUGCCAAGCAGGCAAAAACACCUACGCGAACAGAACAAUACCAGCAACAUCACCUCAAAGAGAAACCUGAAUCGCAACGUUGUGAUUUCAUUCAACUGCUUGUUGGAUGUGUGUGUGUUUGAGUGCGCGUUAGUGUGUCCGCAGAGGAACACCAACGCAACGAGGCUUUUGCAUGACUCUCGCAAUAUGGAAAUGUGCUCACUUGUGAAAAGAAAAAAACUAGUGAUACAUUUGUUUAUCGCAAAACACUGGCCAACGAGCUCGAAAGUGAGUGAUACAGUUUUGUGCCGAAAAACAGUCGCAAACCAGCUCGCGAGAGUAAAAUCGUCUCGCAAAACGGUCGCUUUCACUGCCGCAAAGUAAACGAGGCGAUAUCAUUGGCUGGGUACAUGAAUGAACACACAUGCGGUGGUACUUGUUCAGCAGAGACGCAAGCAGCGAUAGGAAAAAUACGGACAGCGACUCGGAUCUCGGUCAGCUGAAAUCCCGAAACUUCAAUUGAAUUUUCAUUAUUUUGCAAAGGAAUGAAUAAAGGAAAUCUACAUUAAAAAUGAACA